UAUUCUGCCCUACAGGGAAGGAUGAGAAGCUUCGACUAAGGUUCGACUCGAGCGAAGCGAGAGAACGUUGCCGCAGGCAACGGCCCGAAGGGCGAGGCGCUUUAGCGCCGAGUAAUCCUUCCCCACCACCA
rnacentral:sRNA from 2 species